rnacentral:pre_miRNA from 1 species
UAUUAAAAUUUCACUAUUUUAUUAUUAAAAACUGACGUAGCUGACAGAAUAACUAAAUGGUGACACAUGGCAUGUCACGUGUACUUCAUGUUGACGUACAAAAUCAUUUUUUAACAUUAACAAUAGGUGUAAUUUUUAAUA